GAUGAAGAACGUAGCGAAAUGCGAUACUUGGUGUGAAUUGCAGAAUCCCGUGAACCAUCGAGUCUUUGAACGCAAGUUGCGCCCGAAGCCAUUAGGCCGAGGGCACGCCUGCCUGGGCGUCACACGUCGUUGCCCCCCCAUCUACUCCUUCGGGAUUGCGGGGGGCGGAUGAUGGCCUCUCGUGCGCCUCGUCGCGCGGUUGGCCGAAAUGCCAAGUCCUCGGCGACGCACGCCACGACAAUCGGUGGUUGCGAAACCUCGGUUGCCUGUCGUGUGCGGUCGUCGCGCAUCGAGGGCUCGAAAAAAUUGCCGGGCUUCGGCUCGACUUUCAACGCGACCCCAGGUCAGGCGGGGUUACCCGCUGAAUUUAAGCAUAUCAAUAAGCGGAGGA
rnacentral:misc_RNA from 1 species